rnacentral:ncRNA from 1 species
AACGAUGCAUCGAACGGGAAGAGUAGGCCCGGAUGCUGUCUUCAGAGAGGGGGUAAAAGGUGAGAGCCCCCGGCAGCGCCGUCCGAAUGUCGCCCGCGAGCAGCCUCCGUGAAGACAGUAGCGGAGCGCCGGUCCCAGACCGUUAUCGUAUUGAGCGCCGGCCGCUUCCCUUUGCGUGUCGGAACUAAAGGUGGUACCGCGAAAUCAGCCCUUCGUCCUUUAU